UUGGGUAGGGGAGCGUUCUGUAAGCCUGUGAAGGUGUGUCGUGAGGCAUGCUGGAGGUAUCAGAAGUGCGAAUGCUGACAUAAGUAACGAUAAAGCGGGUGAAAAGCCCGCUCGCCGGAAGACCAAGGGUUCCUGUCCAACGUUAAUCGGGGCAGGGUGAGUCGACCCCUAAGGCGAGGCCGAAAGGCGUAGUCGAUGGGAAACGGGUUAAUAUUCCCGUACUUGGUGUUACUGCGAAGGGGGGACGGAGAAGGCUAUGUUGGCCGGGCGACGGUUGUCCCGGUUUAAGCGUGUAGGUGUGUGUUCCAGGUAAAUCCGGUUCACUUUAACACUGAGGCGUGACGACGAGGCACUACGGUGCUGAAGCAACAAAUGCCCUGCUUCCAGGAAAAGCCUCUAAGCAUCAGGUAACAUCAAAUCGUACCCCAAACCGACACAGGUGGUCAGGUAGAGAAUACCAAGGCGCUUGAGAGAACUCGGGUGAAGGAACUAGGCAAAAUGGUGCCGUAACUUCGGGAGAAGGCACGCUGACACGUAGGUGAAGUGAUUUACUCAUGGAGCUGAAGUCAGUCGAAGAUACCAGCUGGCUGCAACUGUUUAUUAAAAACACAGCACUGUGCAAACACGAAAGUGGACGUAUACGGUGUGACGCCUGCCCGGUGCCGGAAGGUUAAUUGAUGGGGUCAGCGCAAGCGAAGCUCCUGAUCGAAGCCCCGGUAAACGGCGGCCGUAACUAUAACGGUCCUAAGGUAGCGAAAUUCCUUGUCGGGUAAGUUCCGACCUGCACGAAUGGCGUAAUGAUGGCCAGGCUGUCUCCACCCGAGACUCAGUGAAAUUGAACUCGCUGUGAAGAUGCAGUGUACCCGCGGCAAGACGGAAAGACCCCGUGAACCUUUACUAUAGCUUGACACUGAACAUUGAGCCUUGAUGUGUAG
rnacentral:rRNA from 1 species